GAUGAACGCUGGCGGCGUGCCUAAUACAUGCAAGUCGAGCGAACAGAUGAGAAGCUUGCUUCUCUGAUGUUAGCGGCGGACGGGUGAGUAACACGUGGGUAACCUACCUAUAAGACUGGGAUAACUCCGGGAAACCGGGGCUAAUACCGGAUAAUAUUUUGAACUGCAUGGUUCAAUAGUGAAAGACGGUUUCGGCAGUCACUUAUAGAUGGACCCGCGCCGUAUUAGCUAGUUGGUAAGGUAAUGGCUUACCAAGGCGACGAUACGUAGCCGACCUGAGAGGGUGAUCGGCCACACUGGAACUGAGACACGGUCCAGACUCCUACGGGAGGCAGCAGUAGGGAAUCUUCCGCAAUGGGCGAAAGCCUGACGGAGCAACGCCGCGUGAGUGAUGAAGGUCUUCGGAUCGUAAAACUCUGUUGUUAGGGAAGAACAAAUUUGUUAGUAACUGAACAAGUCUUGACGGUACCUAACCAGAAAGCCACGGCUAACUACGUGCCAGCCGCCGCCGUAA
rnacentral:rRNA from 1 species